UGAGGAAUAUUGGUCAAUGGACGCAAGUCUGAACCAGCCAAGUAGCGUGCAGGAUGACGGCCCUAUGGGUUGUAAACUGCUUUUAUAUGGGGAUAAAGUGGGGAACGUGUUCCCUUUUGCAGGUACCAUAUGAAUAAGGACCGGCUAAUUCCGUGCCAGCAGCCGCGGUAAUACGGAAGGUUCGGGCGUUAUCCGGAUUUAUUGGGUUUAAAGGGAGCGUAGGCCGUUUGGUAAGCGUGUUGUGAAAUAUACCGGCUCAACCGGUGGCUUGCAGCGCGAACUGGUCGACUUGAGUAUGCAGGAAGUAGGCGGAAUUCAUGGUGUAGCGGUGAAAUGCUUAGAUAUCAUGACGAACUCCGAUUGCGCAGGCAGCUUACUGUAGCAUAACUGACGCUGAUGCUCGAAAGUGCGGGUAUCAAACAGG
rnacentral:rRNA from 1 species